rnacentral:rRNA from 1 species
ACUGUAAUUAAUACAUCUUUAAUGAACUAUAUCCAAUUAGAACUCCACAGUUACGCAUGCUUAGCAUAGAGUAGUACUAGGAUGGGUGACCUCUCGGGAAGUCCUAGUGUUUUACAUGC